ACGGGUGAGUAACACGUGAGUAACCUGCCCUUAACUCUGGGAUAAGCCUGGGAAACUGGGUCUAAUACCGGAUAGGAGCGCCUACCGCAUGGUGGGUGUUGGAAAGAUUUAUCGGUUUUGGAUGGACUCGCGGCCUAUCAGCUUGUUGGUGAGGUAAUGGCUCACCAAGGCGACGACGGGUAGCCGGCCUGAGAGGGUGACCGGCCACACUGGGACUGAGACACGGCCCAGACUCCUACGGGAGGCAGCAGUGGGGAAUAUUGCACAAUGGGCGCAAGCCUGAUGCAGCGACGCCGCGUGAGGGAUGACGGCCUUCGGGUUGUAAACCUCUUUCAGUAGGGAAGAAGCGAAAGUGACGGUACCUGCAGAAGAAGCACCGGCUAACUACGUGCCAGCAGCCGCGGUAAUACGUAGGGUGCGAGCGUUAUCCGGAAUUAUUGGGCGUAAAGAGCUCGUAGGCGGUUUGUCGCGUCUGUCGUGAAAGUCCGGGGCUUAACCCCGGAUCUGCGGUGGGUACGGGCAGACUAGAGUGCAGUAGGGGAGACUGGAAUUCCUGGUGUAGCGGUGGAAUGCGCAGAUAUCAGGAGGAACACCGAUGGCGAAGGCAGGUCUCUGGGCUGUAACUGACGCUGAGGAGCGAAAGCAUGGGGAGCGAACAGGAUUAGAUACCCUGGUAGU
rnacentral:rRNA from 1 species